rnacentral:lncRNA from 1 species
UCUCCUGCUCUCGGAGCCACUGCCCCACCCCCGCCGUGGGGGGGCGCCGAGGAGGGAGCGGGCGUCUGAGCGCGGAGGCGUGCGGGGAGCGGGCUGGGGAGCGGCGGUCGCUACGGAUCCCCUUGCUCUGACGGCAGCUCAGACGCCCGCGGAGGCGGCUCCGCGGGGCGAGCACGGAAGGGGGCGAGUGCCGGGACCCCUCCCCCUCCGCUCGCGGCGCGCCGCGCGCCCCCGCGUCGCCUGGCGCGCCCCCGCGCCCUCGCGCCGGCCCGGGCAGACACCUACGCAGACGCGAAAGUGAAAGGGGGGUGACCCGGCCCGGCGGGCUACAGGCGGCGCGCGGGCACGCGGCAGGGGGCGGAGGACGGAAGGGUGAACCGGGUUCCCAGGAUUCUCCCGCGCCCGCUGCUCCUCUGCGGAGCCUCCCCGGAGUCCCACGUCCCCACCCCGGCCACGCAGAUCAGCACGUCAGGAGAUAUGUAUGCGUGUGCUUGUGUGUGCGCGCGUGUUCACGCGCACUCGCGGGUUUGCGAGGGGCAUAG